rnacentral:rRNA from 1 species
GACGAACCGAGCGAACGUUGUUCGGAAUCACUGGGCUUAAAGGGCGCGUAGGCGGGCUGUCAAGUCUGGGGUGAAAUCCCACGGCUCAACCGUGGAACUGCCUUAGAUACUGACGGCCUCGAGGGAGGUAGGGGCGGCCGGAACUUCCGGUGGAGCGGUGAAAUGCGUAGAUAUCGGAAGGAACGCCGGUGGCGAAAGCGGGCCGCUGGACCUCUACUGACGCUGAGGCGCGAAAGCCAGGGGAGCGAACGGG